UUUUUUUUUUUUUUUUUUUUUUUUUUUUUUGGUUUUUUAGGCCCGCACCUGUGGCAUAUGGAAGUUCCCAGGCUAAGGGUUGAUUCAGAACCACAGCUGCUGGACUACACCACAGCAAGGCCAGAUCCAAGCCUCAUCUGCAACCUACACCGCAGCUCAUGGCAACGCCGGAUCCUUAACCCACUGAGCAGGGCCAGGGAUCGAACCCACAUCCUCAUGGAUACUCGUUGGGUUGGUUACCACUGAGACACAACGGGAACUCCCUUCUUUUUUUAAAAAAAAAAAAAAACUUAAACUUUUAAACUCUAUUCAUUCAGUGUAGGCAAACUGAUUAAUUCAUGCCCAUCAGAAGGUCUCUUUGUGGAAUGUCUUUGGUUUUCAAAAAGCAUGAGUACAAAUUAAUUAUUACUUAACAGAUGCAGUCUUUUAGAUACAGCCUUCUGAAACAUUCGAUCCCAGGGCAGAAAUAGCUACAGCACUGCUUGGGUGUUAAAAAUGAUGAGAUCCUGAUGAAUUUUCUUCUGGCUCUAACAAUCCGUGAGCAUCCUACGGAAAUGGUAAGCCUCCCGCCUGGCAGAGGGGAGGAUUUGAGGAUUUGGGACUGUUGGCCAACAAAGCUGAAACCCCACUGUACUGUCAGGUGAUGGGAUGGCAAAAAGAGGUGAUACCUGCUGGGCUCUUUACAUAAAUUUUCACACCGAGGUCUCACAAAAACCUGAGAAUAGGGUGAUUAUCCACCCUUCACAGGUGGGAAAAUUGGGAUUAAAAUAGUCCUUGCUCCAUAAAGACGUCGGAGGCUUGGAGAAGGGACGUAACUUCCACCAGGUCACAUGUAAGAGAGUGGCGUAGUCAAGGUUGGAUGGCAGGGCUUCACGACAUUCAAGGACAGUUUGCCCAGCAUCAGGACCAGCUCCCCUGAACAGGCUUAGAAGCAGCAGCUGCAGCCAGUUUCCUGACCUGUGGAUAGUAGCUCAGUUGCUUUGUUGCUGGAGCCAAUAGUUCUAGCGUUGGAACUUCUUCCCCAAAUUCUUAAGAGUGGCUGAGGAAGCAGCUCCGUGGUGGGUUGGUUUUACAGUGUCAUUCUGGGGUCUUCCAGGAUUCCAGACUGCCAGCCACUCCUCCAAACUUUCCAAAGAUUUUGCAGGUUCCUAAUGUGCUUAUUAAAAUACUUCCUGUUGAAAAUAUCUGCUCUACCCUCUGUUAUCUGCAACCGAUUCCUGAUCGAGUCCACUUACAGUCUCUCUCACCAUAAACAUGCUUCUCUUAACCCAGGAACAGGAGGAAAGGAAAUAGCCAGUGUGUUUGAACACAAAGCAGAACUCUUCCAUGGGGCUCCUUUUCCUUUCCCAGUGGGUUCCAAUUUCUUACCCCUGGGUAACUACGACUGGAAUGAGUUUGGGACAAUUGAUUCCACUUCGUCUCUUUUCCAUUUUGCUUCAGAAUGGCUCACAGAACUCAUUUAUUUAAGGAGCAGUGAGGUACCUUCUUUCUUAGAUGACCUCAAAUGGUAAAUCAGGAUUAGGAAGCCCUCGCACAUUUACAAAGGGUUUAGGAAAACGAUUUAUCUAGAUACUCCUUCUGCUGAUAGACCACCCCAGACUCUGGAAUAGGGCCUCCAAACUCAGGUUGGGGGAGGCUAAAAAUUUGCGUGACCAGAGUAUGAAUGAGUGUAUGUUGGGAAUCCAAAGAUAUUUCCAGCACCCUCUCCAUCUCUGUGCUGCUAGAAGGCAGCAUGGUUCUCUGGAGCAUCAAUGCUUCGUAUUCAUAUACCAGUUUUCCAUAAUACUAUGCCACCGUGGACAUGGAUUUAACCAUUUGGUGUUAUUGUUGCAUCGAUGAGAAAAUUGGGAUUAAAAUAGUCCUUGCUCCAUAACGAUGUCAUACGCAUUAAAUGAAAUAAUGUGCGUAUUUCAUUAAGAACAGGUCCAAGCAAAAUUAAGUUCUGCAUGAGCAUUCACUAUUAUUAUUGUUCAAGAAUACGGAGAGGACAUUAUUUCCCCAAGUUACAAUUGAGGCGUCUGAAGCUCAGAGAAGUAAAGUCACUUAUCUAAAGUUUCUGCUGUCACUUUCUGUCUGUCAAAGAAAACGUUGCCUUACUUCCUGGCCCCACACAAAAUCUCCCCUCUCUGUGACGUUCCUUCUGAUACAUGUGUGCAGUCUCUCGCAGGAGCAUGCACGUGCACACACACACACACACACCCCCUCCAGGUUAGAGGUAAUAUUUCCUUUCACUGUCUUUUGUUCUUAUCCUAAGACAUCUUAGGAUAUGCAGUUAACAAGGGCACUAAUGUCACCCCCUUUUAUAAAUCGCAAGCCUCUAUAAGACCCUGUAAUCUAAUGUUUGAAUUUGCCCCCCGUGCCUUCCGUAUCGUAAUAGAUAAUGAUCACAACGUGUGUGUAUGAACUUUGCUUCCAUCAAGCUUUCAUUAGCAUCCCUCUUUCGGUUCUCACCAUCCCCUAUGGACCAUGUAUUGAUCCCCACAUCACGGGUAGAGCGGGAGUUUGAACCUAAGUUUGACAUCAAAGCUCGUGGCUUUUCUAAUGCAUGACUGUUAUUUCAAUAAGAAGCUUUGGUGUGGAGCGGGCUGGAAGGGAGCGGAGUAGCGUGCGGUGGAGGGGGAUGGCUUGGAGAGAAGAAAGGCGGUGUGGAGCGGUAAGGCAAGGACAGUGCCUGCAGGUAGAGAGGACGCAUUAUCAGGGUCAGAGAGUAGAAAAGAACAGUACCACUCGACCACUGGACCACAAUGAAACCACCUGUCCCUUCCUUUCCUUCAAGGUUCUUUUGAGAGUGAAAUAAGAAAAAAAAAAUUAAAAAGCUGAAAAUGCUAAGGCAGAAACGGUACUCCCUGAAGACAUAAAGGAUGGUUAACGUUAUCCUGCGUUAUCCCAGUGAUGAUCAUGAGAUGAUGAUGCUUCUGGGUCCCUUCCCCAUCAGAAAGUCUCGACCUGGAAGUGCUGACAUAGAAACUAUUGAGGGCUAGCAGUCUUUUCCUCUGCUCUUACAAAUGCAGUAUCCAUGUCUCUUUCUCUCCGUGGAACUAAGAUGUCAGAACUUAAGAUGAGGACUAGACCUUCCAGGCUCAGGUCAGUUCAAAGGAACUGGGUUCCUGAGACAAGCCGUGUCGCCUUUCUAGCAGGUCAGCCAAAGGCAGGUGUUCCUGUAGGGAUGACAUUGGGAAUCUGAGGGAGACCCAUUCAUGAAUCCAGGUCAGAAUCUGGGCACCCUGAGCUCAGGCAGCAAGGACCUGCUUUACCAGAACAGGUUUUAUGCUCAGAACUCCAUUUUUUUUUUUUAACAGAAAAAAAAAAAUGCCUUUUUCUGUCUGACAUAUUUCACUUAGCAUAAUGCCCUCCAAGUCCAUUCACGUUGCAGCAAGUGACAAAUAUUUCAGUCUUUUUUUGGCUGGGUAGUAUUCCAUUAUAUAUACAUGUGUGUGUGCAUGUGUAUAUAUACAUAUAUAUAUAUUUUUUGUCUUUUUGCCUUUUCUAGGGCUGUACCUGCGGCAUGUGGAGGUUCCCAGGCUAGGGGUCUAAUUGGAGCUGUAGCCACCAGCCUACGCCAGAGCCACAGCAACUCGGGAUCCGAGCCGUGUCUGCAACCUACACCACAACUCAUGGCAAUGCCAAAUCCUUAACCCACUGAGCAAGGCCAGGGACCGAACCCGCAACCUCAUGGUUCCUAGUCGGAUUCGUUAACCACUGAGCUACGACGGGAACUUCCAUUUAUAUCUUCUUUAUCCAUUUAUCUGUUUACAGUCACUUAGGUUGUUUCCACAUGUUGGCAAUUUUAAAUAAUGCUUCCGGAACAUUGGGGUGAGUGAAAUCAGUCAGAAAAGAGAAAGAUAAAUACUGUGCGAUAUCACUUAUGCAUGGAAUCUUAAAAAAUACAACAAGCUAGUGACUGUAACAAAAAAGAAGCAGACACACCGACACAGAGACAGACUGUGGUUACCAGUGGUGGGGGGUGGCAGGCAAUAAAGGGGGGGACGUGGGAGGUACAAAGAACUGUUUGGCAGGUAGGCUCAAGGAUGUGUUGUACAGCACGGGGAAUAUAGCCAAUAUUUUGUAACAACUGUACGUGGAAAGUAAUCUUUCAAAAAUGUAGAAAAAUAAAAAUAAAUAAAAAAUUAAAAAUGAUAGCCGCUCUUUCCACAGGCUGUGACAGGGACGAGAACGAGGCUACAGGAAGUUUCUGAGCCACAUUGACCCAAGAGGAGUCAGUGGGGGCCAGAAAGGUCCAGGGGAAAAAUUUCUUGAUGCUGAGUCCAAGGAACUCCCCACUAGCCUCCUAUAAGCCUCAGAAUCAACCAGGCUGCUCCUCCAGGUGGUUAAGAGUUUCCACCUUCAGGAGUUUCCAUCUUCUGUGUCCUGUGUCUGCCCUAUCCCCACAAAAAAGAAAGCUAUCUGAUGCCUACUAAGUUCAAAACAAGUCAUGUCCUUGCCUUAGUAACUGAUAGGAUAUGCAUGUGCUAUGGAAGGGAAUCUUGGAAUGACAUCUCGAGCUCUGUACCCCCUAAAUUUUUAGACCUUUCCAGAUGAGGAUCUAUUUAUAAGAGAUUCCAAGGAGCACAAGGGAGGUCCGAUGAUUGAACCCGUGAUGUGAUAAGGGGCCAAGGCCAUGCACUGGUUCAUUCUUUUUAUUUUUCAUUUAUCAAGCAUGACAAAUAAAAGAUUGUCCCUGACUUGAAGGAGCUUUCAAGAGACAGAUAUGUAAAUAAAUGCAUAUGUUCUUGGAGCAAAUUGCACACUGCCAGCAAGCGUGUUACUGUGAUGACUCAGAGGAAAAUCAUCCUUGUCAGACUCAGGGGACUGAGGGAAGCCUUCCAGGAAGAGAUGGGGCUUAGCUCAAGUAUCACAGAGUGAGAAUUCGUCCCCUGGAUAAUUAAGAGGAAGAAGAACAUCUGGGGAAAUAUUUACUUUACUCAAGAUGUAUUUGCUGAGACUAUAUUAGGUACCAGGUACCCUGCUAAUGCCUGGGGAUAUAUGCUUACUGUAAUAAACAUGGUUAUCUAUCUUCACGGAAGUUUCACCCAAGUACUUAACCAUAGAUAUAUAUAUAUUCGGGCUUGGCAUCCCUGAUAGGUAAAGAAAUUGGAGAGGGAUUUACUUUAUAGAAAUUGGGAGCAAGAAAUGAGUGAACAUCAAAGAAAUAUGGGAAUCAAGGAUCCUAUAGAAACAAUCAGUGACUUAGUUUAGAAACUUGAACUAAUGUCAAGUGGUUGAUGGUACAAUAAAGUUGCAUCAGAUGAAAUAGCUGUAUCUCUGUGUCUUUUGAUAGAGACCAAAGUAGUAUGACCCAAUGAGCAAAGGCAACAGGGCUAAAAUGGAAGGUGAAUCCCUUGGGAUUCACUUGACAAUUUUGGAGACAGAAAAAAAAAAUUUUAAGCUGUUAGGGAGGUGGCGUAUUAUCUCACCUCAGUAGCAGAGGUGAGGAUAAGCCUUCAGCUAAAGGGUGCCUUGGUGGUCAUCUUUAUCCAGAGAGGAAGAGCUAGCAGAUGCCAGCGAUGAAAGGAAAUGGUGGGUGCAGCCAUUGCUGACUCCUAUGAGGCACUUUCAUGGACUCUUGCAGAGAAUGAUAGAAGGAUUUACAAGAGUGGGGCUCUAAAACUCCCUGACAGGGAUUAGGCCAGGGUAGCAAUUGUAAUAUGGCCCCAGAGAAGUCAUGACACUCCAACACAAAGGCCACUACCUCUUCUUGUUCAUCAACACUCCCUUUCUUUGUGACCAGAACACCAGACCUCAGGGCAAGAUCCCUUGAAAGACCAAGUGGCCAAGAAGGUAAAGUGAGCCUCUCUGACCAACAUCUACAUGGGUGGCAGCAUUGCCCUUCCAGGAUUGAGUAAAAGAAAUAGAAGCAAACCCAGUGGCCCUGUUGUGGGUGGCAGGGAACUCUGUCACAGAUUUUGAGGGCUACACAGAUAAACGGCAAACAUCUCCUCUCAUAUCAAACAGCCCUUUUCCCUCUGAGCUUUCACAGUCUCUCUCCCAACUCCUUCUGUUUCAAAACAUCCUCUCUCAGCUUACUACCCAUGAACCUUCUUGAGCGAACCUAAUCUCACCCCCAAAUGCCCACGUGGUGUAGGUUGGGCUGACCCCCCUAAAACCCAGAAGAGCUCAUUGUUCUCUGAAAGGUCUUUUUCAGGAGGUGCAGGACUUGUUUCCCUAGGCAGGAGCCAGGUUGUGAAAGGAGAGACUCAGAAGGGAUUGCCUCACAGUCCUGUGUCAGCUGAUUACAUAGUGUUUCUGC
rnacentral:lncRNA from 1 species